UUUCUGAGAGAAGAAUUUAUUUUUCCGAGGUGACAACGAAUAAAUGGCUUUUAUAAAAAUGUAUAAAGUUAACUUUGGAAAGACACAAAACCAUUUUUUAUUGUUAUGUUUACGUUAGUGCUGGUGGCGUUAGAGUUGCCAUGGCAACCGGGAAAACAUUCAAGCUGCUGGAGAGGACAGCGUCGACGUUUCUCCGUGUUUCUCGUCAGUUUUAUAGCAAUAAAGUUCAACAACCGUCAGAUUGUGACACGGGGACCAGGAGGUGUUGCAGCAGGCUUUGUGGGCGCCGUUACGCGUCGUGAUCCUUCUUAUUGAGCAACGCGAUUUAUAUCAUCUCUUUGCUGCAAAUGAAUGCCUGAACUGGAACGUUUCUUUGGACGGAUGGAUGGUUUCUUUCUCUCUUAGUGUUGAUUUCUUCGACCGUUCUUCUGCUGUAUACUAGACGAUGCCAUCGCUGCGGCUUUGCAGAAUUGGGGUACCAGUAUUAGCCGGUGCCCUUUGUGUGUGGUGGUGGUUCGGCUGUUGGCCUGCAGUGUUCACAACGGGUGUUGUUGGUGCUGUGUUGUGAGAGCACGAGUGGUUGCUGUGUUUAUCCGAUAGGCGAGACGAAUUCCCCAGUUCUGAAGUGGUAAACUCAUGUUUGUAUGGAUGUGCAAGAAGUUUUAUGAGUGAUUGUGCUCCCUUUUUAAACUUUUAUACAUUAAAGAGACUGGUCUUGUAUUUUCUUGAUGUUUAUUAAAUAAAAUUGUGUGAAAUGUACAUUGUUGUCUGAUAUCUGUCCAGCCACUGCUUAUCUGUGUGUGGUACUUUGUGUACCUGUGGGUCCCCGGCCCAUUUCCGGGGUGGCGUAGUCGAGCUGUUGCCAUAUUUGGCUUAAUUGUGUAAAGCCUUUAAUAGCAGAAUGCCACACAUG